UAAUCCCACCAGAAAGUGGUUCCAUAAGCUUACUUGGAAAGAAGAGUAUUAGAGAAGAACCAUCUAAGAGAAAGAAUCCUGGAGCAGUCAAAAUUAGUCCUUGGACAUUGGCGCGAUUAAAUGCAUAAGAGCUUAAGAGAGAAGAAAGAAAUGGG